AGGGUCUUGGCUGCAGGGACUU
rnacentral:miRNA from 1 species